UGCCUUUGAUGACAUUUUAUUUGCUACUCUCGACAAAAUGGAUGACGAUGCAAACAACCACCAAGUUGAUAUCUGAGGCA